GACGAACGCUGGCGGCGUGCUUAACACAUGCAUGUCGAACGGAAAGGCCCUGCUUUUGUGGGGUGCUCGAGUGGCGAACGGGUGAGUAACACGUGAGUAACCUGCCCUUGACUUUGGGAUAACUUCAGGAAACUGGGGCUAAUACCGGAUAGGAGCUCCCGCUGCAUGGUGGGGGUUGGAAAGUUUCGGCGGUUGGGGAUGGACUCGCGGCUUAUCAGCUUGUUGGUGGGGUAGUGGCUUACCAAGGCUUUGACGGGUAGCCGGCCUGAGAGGGUGACCGGCCACAUUGGGACUGAGAUACGGCCCAGACUCCUACGGGAGGCAGCAGUGGGGAAUAUUGCACAAUGGGCGGAAGCCUGAUGCAGCAACGCCGCGUGCGGGAUGACGGCCUUCGGGUUGUAAACCGCUUUCGCCUGUGACGAAGCGUGAGUGACGGUAAUGGGUAAAGAAGCACCGGCUAACUACGUG
rnacentral:rRNA from 1 species